rnacentral:rRNA from 1 species
AGUGGUUUUCAUGAAACUAAAAUUAAUUGGCGGCUUUUUAAAUAUUUUAGAGGAAUUUAUUCUGUAAAGGAUUUAACACCAACAAUCUUACUUUUGUUUGUAUUUAAACAAUUUACACACCUCUAUUUUAAAAUAUUUAGAUAUAUUUUAGCAAUACUUUUAUAUGAAGUAGGUUUUUAGGUAAAGGUGUAGUUUAUACAAAGAGAAUGAAAUAAAUGUAUAUUAAUUAUUAUUUAGUAACGAGAUUUGAAUGUAACCUAAAAAUUAAGUAAAACCUCAAAAGUAAAAUUAGUUUACCACGGCGAAUUUGAAUAUAAUUUUAUAAGUGUACAUAUUGCCCGUCGCUCUCUUUUUAGAGAUAAGUCGUAACAUAGUUA